AAUCCAUGACCAAAGAAUCGUCACAAAUCGAAGCUUACAAAAUGGAGUAAAAUUUUUUUUUACUCAGUAAUAUGCUUUGGGUUGAAAGUCUCCCACCAAUUCGUAUGCGGAAAACGUAAUGAGAUUUAAAAAUUUUAAAUUGUUUAAAUCAACUCAUUAAGGAGGAUGCCCUUGGGUAUUCUGCUUCUUGACCUGGUACCUCUAUUGCAGGGUACUGGUGUUUUCUUCGGUACUGGAUUCCGUUUGUAUGGAAUCUAAACCAUAGUUAUGACGAUUGCUCUUUCCCGUGCUGGAUCGAGUAACCCAAUGGAGCUUACUAUUCUUGGUCCAUGGAUUCACCC
rnacentral:RNase_MRP_RNA from 1 species